rnacentral:rRNA from 1 species
GAUCUGGUUCAGAACGAACGCUGGUAGCGUGGAUUAGGCAUGCAAGUCGAACGGGAUCGCUGGGUUAGCAAUAAUCCGGCGUGAGAGUGGCGGAUUGGGGAGGAACACGUGAGCAACCUGCCUUUGAGUCGGGGAAAACCGUUGGAAACGACGGCUAAUACCGGAUGUGGCGCCCUGUGACAUCACGGGAGCGCUAAAGGGGGCCGCAAGGCUCCCGCUCGUAGAGGGGCUCGCGCACCAUCAGCUUGUUGGCGGGGUAACGGCCCACCAAGGCGUACGGUUAGCUGGUCUGAGAGGAUGACCAGCCCCACUGGGACUGAGAUACUGCCCAGACUCCUACGGGAGGCUGCAGUCGAGGAUCAUUUGCAAUGGGCGAAAGCCUGACAAUGCGACGCUGCGUGGAGGAUGAAGGCCUUCGGGUUGUAAACUCCUGUCAGUGGGGGAACAGGCGAGGGGACCCAAUACGUCCCUUAGUUGAGUGUACCCCAAGAGGAAUUGGCGGCUAACUCUGUGCCAGCAGCUGC